rnacentral:rRNA from 1 species
UACUCCUACGGGAGGCAGCAGUAGGGAAUCUUCCACAAUGGACGCAAGUCUGAUGGAGCAACGCCGCGUGAGUGAAGAAGGUUUUCGGAUCGUAAAGCUCUGUUGUUGGUGAAGAAGGAUAGAGGUAGUAACUGGCCUUUAUUUGACGGUAAUCAACCAGAAAGUCACGGCUAACUACGUGCCAGCAGCCGCGGUAAU